CUUGGCGACCAUAGCGCUUUGGAACCACCUGAUUCCAUGCCGAACUCAGUAGUGAAACGAAGCAGCGCCGAUGGUAGUGUGGGGUCUCCCCAUGUGAGAGUAGGACAUCGCCAGGC
rnacentral:rRNA from 1 species